rnacentral:rRNA from 1 species
CAGUCGCCGCGGUAAUACGAAGGGGGCUAGCGUUGUUCGGAAUUACUGGGCGUAAAGGGCGCGUAGGCGGCCAUUCAAGUUAGAUGUGAAAGCCCUGGGCUCAACCUAGGAAUUGCAUUUGAUACUGUUUGGCUUGAGUUCGGGAGAGGUGAGUGGAAUUCCCAGUGUAGAGGUGAAAUUCGUAGAUAUUGGGAAGAACACCAGUGGCGAAGGCGGCUCACUGGACCGACACUGACGCUGAGGCGCGAAAGCGUGGGGAGCAAACAGGAUUAGAUACCCGCGUAGUCCCUGUCUCUUAUAA